GAUGCUUGUCGGGAACAAAGUUGACAAGGAAAUCCAGCGGAUCGUGACGAAGAAAGAGGGAUUGGAGUUUGCGAGAGAUAACGGUUGCCUUUUCAUCGAAUGCAGUGCUAAAACGCAUGUCAACGUGCAGCAGUGCUUUGAUGAGCUUUGUUCUAAAGAUUGUGGAUACACUAGCCUUUUAGCCGAG